rnacentral:tRNA from 1 species
GCCCGGCUAGCUUAAUCGGUAGAGCGUGAGACUCUUAAUCUCAAGGCUGCGGGUUCGACCCCCGCGUUGGGCU